AGCAGACUCUCCCAUCACAGACCCUGAGGCCUAGGAGGGAAAAAUGAUUCUCUGGGCCAGACUCACGCCCCGUCUGCUGUGUGCAGCCUAGGGAUGUGGUGUCCUAUGUCCCAGUUGCUCCAGCCAUGGCUAAAAUGAGCCAAGGCACAGCUCAGGCUGUGUCUUCAGAAGGUGCAACACCAAGCUUUGGCAGCUUCAACAUGGUGAUGAGCCUGUGGAUGCUCAGAGGUCAAGAACUCAGGUUUGGGAAGCUCCACCUAGAUUUCAGAAGAUGUACGGAAAUGACUGAAUGUCCAGGCAGAAUUUUGCUAUAGGAGAAGAACCUUCAUGGAGAACCUAUGCUAGGGCAGUGUGGAAGGAAACACUGAGCCUCCAGAAAUUAAUCAAUUACAAUUCAGGUUUUUCCACUCCAGCCUAGAUUCUAGUGGAGGAGGUUUCUUCUCAAGACUUUAUCUCUGGUCCACACCAUCUUUAUGAGCUGUAACACUCACUGCCAAGGUCUGCAGCUUCACUCCUGAAGCCAGCGAGACCAUGAACCCAAUGGGAGGGAUGAACAACUCCAGAGUGCCACCUUUAUGAACUGUAACACUCACCAUGAGGGUCUGCAGCUUCACUCCUGAGGCCAGCGAGACCACGAACCUACCGAAAGGAAUGAACAACUCCAGACACGCCACCUUUAAGAGCUGUAACACCCACCGCGAAGGUCUGCAGCUUCACUCCUGAAGUCAGCGAGACCACAAACCCACCAGAAGGAAGAAACUCCGGACACAUCUGAACAUCUGAAGAAACAAACUCCAGACACACCAUCUUUAAGAACUGUAACACUCACCGUGAGGGUCCGUGUCUUCAUUCUUGAAGUCAGCGAGAACAAGAACCCACCAAUUCCGGACACAUUACCACAGUCACUAAUCAAGAGAUAUCAUUUUCCAUCUAUUUUUAGCUCAACUAUAUAUUAGUAGGCAUCUCCUCAAACUGUUUAGGUAUCAUUAAACCCAAAAGCAAGAUCCAAAGUACUUGAGAUUUUCAAUAUUGAACUAGAUGACAGAGAAAAAAACUGCAUUUUUCCAGUCUAAUUUUAACACCUAUGCCACAAGAGCUUGUCCUGUCUCAUUAUAUUAAAUUGGAUCUUAGUCUCCUUAACCUAAUAUUUAAUAUUUGUUACAACCGGUAAAAUUAUCAUUUUAUUGGAUAGGGAAACAAUCACAUGCUCUGAAAUAAAUGGAAUGAUAAUAAUGUCUAUGAUUACAAAUUCUCCGAAUUGUCCUUCCUAUCUGAGCAAAUUAGAGCAAAAGCUAUGUAAACCCCAGGCAACUGUUAUUUUGUGUGUGUGUAUGUGUGCGUGUCUGUGAAUGUGUAUGUAUGUGUGGUAUGUGUGUCAUAAUAGGAAACGUCUGCUUCUAAUGUCUUAGUUAAUUGACUAUUACAGUAUCUGAUUGUUUUAAGGACAAUAACAUAUGGAAAGUAACAAGACCAUCAACCUUUCAGAAGACCACCAAGGAAACCUGUUGAUGGAGCAAAGCUAAGUUUACUAGAUAACAUUUGUAUGGGAGACAAAUCUGAGCAUGUACUCAGUGGAUGUCAAAAUGCUGAGACUGGGGAAAGAUGUAUAGGAUUUUAGGGUUUGGGAUGUUUAUUAAAUAAUAACUUUAUAAUGGUGAGCACAGUGAGGC
rnacentral:lncRNA from 10 species